UCACUCUGUGACACUUGGAAGCCU
rnacentral:siRNA from 1 species